GCGAAGUUGGCUCAGUCGGUAGAGCGUAGGUCUCAUAAUCCUAAGGUCGUGAGUUCGAUUCUCACACUUCGCA